UACGGGGGGAGCAAGCGUUGUUCGGAUUUACUGGGCGUAAAGGGCGCGUAGGCGGCUGCGCAAGUCGGCUGUGAAAUUCCGGGGCUCAACCCCGGAACUGCGUCCGAUACUGCGUGGCUAGAGGUAGGUAGGGGAGAUCGGAAUUCCUGGUGUAGCGGUGAAAUGCGCAGAUAUCAGGAGGAACACCGGUGGCGAAGGCGGAUCUCUGGGCCUUACCUGACGCUCAGGCGCGAAAGCUAGGGGAGCGAACAGG
rnacentral:rRNA from 1 species